rnacentral:rRNA from 1 species
CAAUACUGCCGGUAAAGUGGCGAACGGGUGAGUAACACGUAGGUAACUUACCCUUGGGACUGGAAUAACCUCGAGAAAUCGGGGCUAAUACCGGAUAAUGCAGCGGACCCGCAUGGGUAUGUUGUUAAAGUGGUCUUGGCUUGCCAAGUUCACACCUAAGGAUAGACCUGCGUCCCAUUAGCUAGUUGGUGAGGUAACGGCUCACCAAGGCAACGAUGGGUAGCCGGCCUGAGAGGGUGUCCGGCCACACUGGGACUGAGAUACGGCCCAGACUCCUACGGGAGGCAGCAGUGAGGAAUAUUGGUCAAUGGCCGAAAGGCUGAACCAGCAACGCCGCGUGAGGGAUGAAGAUCCAAGGAUCGUAAACCUCUGUUAGAAGGGACGAAUAACUCCAUGGUGAACAAUCAUGGGGCCUGACGGUACCUUCAGAGAAAGCCCCGGCUAACUCCGUGCCAGCAGCCGCGGUAAUACGGGGGGGGCAAGCGUUGUCCGGAAUUAUUGGGCGUAAAGGGCGCGUAGGCGGAAUGGUAAGUUGAGGGUGAAAGCCCGGAGCUUAACUCCGGGUCUGCCUUCAAGACUGCUAUUCUUGAGUAUGGAAGAGGGAAGUGGAAUUCCCGGUGUAGCGGUGAAAUGCGUAGAUAUCGGGAAGAACACCAGUGGUGAAGGCGGCUCUCUAUUCUGAUACUGACACUGAGGGGCGAAAGCUAGGGGAGCAAACGGGAUUAGAUACCCCGGUAGUCCUAGCCGUAAACGAUGUGCACUGGGUGUGGGGGGGAUCGACCCCUUCCGUGCCGAAGCUAACGCAUUAAGUGCACCGCCUGGGGAGUACGGCCGCAAGGUUAAAACUCAAAGGAAUUGACGGGGACCCGCACAAGCGGUGGAGCAUGUGGUUUAAUACGACGCAACGCGUAGAACCUUACCAGGGCUUGACAUGUACGUGAAAGUCCUAUGAAAGUAGGACCCCUCUUCGGAGCACGUACACAGGUGUUGCACGGCUGUCGUCAGCUCGUGUCGUGAGAUGUUGGGUUAAGUCCCGCAACGAGCGCAACCCUUUAUUCCUAGUUGCCAGCAUGUCAUGGUU